GAAAACAGAAAACAACACAGAAGAGCAGAAGCCAACCCAACGAAAGCAGAGAUGGAGAAAACAAGGAAGAAAAACACCGGUCCGAUGAAAACAAAAACACCCACAACCUCGGAUAGUCAUCGAUGCUCCAAAUGAUCAACUUGAAAGGGUGGACAAGGGAGUCCGUCGCGGGAAAGGACAUGAACAAGGGAAGAAGGCGGUCGAUCAAUCCAGACCUCUGGGCACUUCCUCCUCACAACUAGCGAUGCAACCAAAUCGGCUGCAGAGUUCGCUUUUCUUGGAAUCCAGAACCACGCCAAACAUGGGUUCGAGGUAAUUGAAUUUCUAAUCAUAGACACAAUUGGAGCAAUUCUCCAAUCACAUGUACUGCUUGAAAUGUUGAUGUUGUCCACUAAUGUCUUUGAAUCUGACUCGAGGAUAAUUGGAGAAGAAGGGAUGCGCUUGGCCACAUCGAUAGCCACCGCCGCCGCAGUCGCCUCCGCCUCUAACACAGAUCCCGUUCGGCACAGCAAGGUAGCUCCAUCAAAGGGGGAGCCAUGAGAAUCACGAGCUAUAGCACAAAUGCCGGUGAUGAAUUCUGCAGCAGCAGUACCAGCUUUCUUGGCCACAAUUCUUGGAUCAAUUGGAGUAGCCUCAAAGACAAAAGCAUUCCUAGCUUUCCAAAUUUCCCAAAGCAGAAAAACAACCUUGGUGAGAAACUCCUCUCUAAUUGAUUUGCAGUCAAUUAUCAUGAGAAUAAUAUUUUCGAACCACAAAUCAAAAGUAGUUAUAGCUUGA